rnacentral:rRNA from 1 species
GACGUAGGGGGCCAGCGUUGCUCGGAAUUACUGGGCGUAAAGGGUCCGUAGGCGGUGCGGUAAGUCGGGAGUGAAAUCUCUGGGCUUAACUCAGAGGCUGCUUCCGAAACUACCGUGCUAGAGUGCGAGAGAGGCAAGUGGAAUUGCGGGUGUAGCGGUGAAAUGCGUAGAUAUCCGCAGGAACAUCCGAGGCGAAAGCGGCUUGCUGGAUCGCAACUGACGCUGAGACGCGAAAGCGUGGGGAGCAAACAGG